UGGUUUCAACUGUAAAUAAGUUAAAAUCCAAAUUUGAAGAGUUUAAGAUCCACUUGUCAAAAAGUGUAAAAAAAAUAUAUAUAAGUAAAUAAACAAAAAACAUUACAAACUUGUUUAUCUUCUCCCACUGCUGUCUACAAACUGUGUUUCAAUGUUUUAGAUGAAACAAAAAAUGUCCUAAUUUAAGAAUUACAGUCAUAUGUCACAACGACACAAAUUCGAUCCAGCCACAUGUGCAGAAUGUAAAACGAUAAUCCUAACGUGCAGCUUCUAAAGCAAGGAAAUCACACGAAAGAAAGAUGGACAUUAUGAAACUUUCAUUAAAAUUCUUUAGCAUUUAAACAAGCUCUAACAGUUAUUAUUCAUAAAUGAGAUCUGGUUUAACUUGGAGCGUGCCGACUACAAAGCUGAGAUCACUGAUUCAUCCUCGACCCCUGCUCCUCGUGUCAUGUCACUUUCAGGUUUAAUCAUCCCGUCGGUUUUUUUUGGUGUCACACAUCGCACAGACAGUCAUUCAAAUUUCACAACUUUCUGUGCCACAGAAAAACACCGUUUGUGCACACCUACAGGCUCGUACACUCCGCCGACGGCUGGUGUCUCCAGGAUUUGAGAGUCAGACCUCAGAGGUUUAGGACCCUGGAAACACUCAUAGAGACCUACAGAAGAGCUACAGCCUCUAAUGUUGGUAUAGUUCCCCUCACAGACCCACUGGACAAAAGUCAACUACAAAACAACUUGGAGUUCGUCUACAUGGAGGUGAACAGUGGCAGCUCAGUGUGUUGAGGCCUUUGUGUCGUCAUGCAGGCGCCGGUAAUCUGGCAGGAAAACGAGACGACAGAAACGUGCAGUAUGUCAUGCAUGCCGCCUACAAACUUCUGGGGGACUUGAAAGUCAAUGAAAUGUGUUUAAAUUAAGGAGUGUUUUGGUUACUGCUGUGUAAAUACGAUACACAUCUCGGGUUUUAUUUUCAGCCCACCUUUGUACGUGGUUUGUAAUUGUUUUAAUCUGUCUGUGAGAAAGUGUGCAUUUGCCAGUUAACACACCAACAGCUUCCAGCCUUAUGGACUCACUAUGCAACACGUGCCCAACCGCCUGUAUUCUCAUGUUUUGUUUGAUAAAUAAAAUCAAUUUAACCAUG